rnacentral:misc_RNA from 1 species
AAAAAAAAAAAAAAAAAUACUGCCAUGGAAAAGUUUUAACAAGGAGCUGCUGGAGCAAGAAGCAAAAGAUCUUGAUCUUAAAAGAAACACCCAAACUCCAGUGAUAAAAGGAUCUAUCAUCGGAGUUAAUGGUGGAGAAGGAAGCAAAGCUCCUGUUCUUGGGACGACGAGCACAAACAUGUGUUGGUAGAGACCCCGAGAAUACUGCCUUCACCUAACUUUGCACAUAGACAGCCCACAGCACAAAAUAAAUGCCAACAAACCAAUAUCACAACCCUCUGAACAUCGGCUCCUUGAAAACACCUGCAUGCAACAGAUCUAAACACACAAACACACAAAACUACAGCUAUCAGAGAUACAACAGCCAAAAAGUGUCCUCUCUUCUUUGAUUCCGUCGGCUGCACUCUAAGAACCUAAAUAUUAUUUACACACCCACCCAACGUGAAAAGGGAACCCGCGAAUCGAGCGAGAGGAAGGACGGCCUUCGCCUGCCCAGAGGGGCAGAGGAAGACCGCCUGAUGUGGCAAAACAGAGGGGCCUGAAC